rnacentral:rRNA from 1 species
CCCUUAGAUGUCCUGGGCCGCACGCGUGCUACACUGACACUUACACCGAGUUUUUCCAAUGCCGAAAGGCCAUUGGUAAUCAGCAAUAAGUGUCGUGAUGGGGAUAGAUCUUUGGAAUUAUUGAUCUUGAACGGGGAAUGCCUAGUAAUCGUAGGUCAUCAGCCUGCGAUGAUUACGUCCCUGCCCUUUGUACACACCGCCCGUCGCUCCUACCGAUUUCGAGUGGUUCGGUGAACCUUUCGGACCGGCAAUGCCUCGUGUUGCGCCGGAAAGUCAAGUAAACCAUAUCACUUAGAGGAAGGAGAANUCGUANCA